AUUCUGCCCAAGCGGGGAAGGAUGAGAAGCUUCGACCAAGGUUCGACUUGAGCGCCAGCGAGAGAGCGUUGCCGCAGGCAACGACCCGAAGGGCGAAGCGCGCAGCGCUGAGUAAUCCUUCCCCCACCCCCA
rnacentral:sRNA from 1 species